GUGUCAGCAGCCGCGGUAAUACGUAGGUGGCAAGCGUUAUCCGGAAUUACUGGGCGUAAAGCGCACGCAGGUGGUUGGGUAAGAUUGACGUGAAAACUCUUGGCUUAACUGAGAGACGUCGUUGAUGACUGCUCGACUUGAGGUGAGGAGAGGGGUGCAGAAUUCCCGGUGUAGUGGUGGAAUGCGUAGAGAUCGGGAGGAAUACCAGUGGCGAAAGCGGCACCCUGGCCUUGGCCUGACGCUCAGGUGCGAAAGCGUGGGGAGCGAACGGGAUUAGAUACCCCGGUAGUCCACGCCAUAAACGAUGAACACUAGGUGUGAGUGGUGUCAAAGCCAUUCGUACCGCAGCCAACGCGAUAAGUGUUCCGCCUGGGGAGUACGACCGCAAGGUUAAA
rnacentral:rRNA from 1 species